rnacentral:rRNA from 1 species
CAAAUUUAAAAUCUACCUGGUUUCCAGGUCGAGUUGUAAUUUGAAGAAACGUUUUUGAUGUUCCGGGUUGGGAUAAAUCCUUUGGGAURAGGUAUCAUGGAGGGUGAGAAUCCCGUGUAUACCAACCGCAGGGAUGUUAUUUAAUACGUUUUCUAAGAGUCGAGUUGUUUGGGAAUGCAGCUCUAAAUGGGUGGUAAAUUUCACCUAAUGCUAAAUAUAAGCGAGAGACCGAUAGCGAACAAGUACCGUGAGGGAAAGAUGAAAAGAACUUUGAAAAGAGAGUUAAAUAGUACGUGAAAUUGUUGAAAGGGAAACGAUUGAAGUCAGUCAUGCCGGCGGGAAUCAACUUAGGGGAAACUUUAAGUGCACUUCACGUUUGGCAGGUCAGCAUCGAUUUUGGAUGUCAUAAAAUGAUUGGGGGAAGGUAGCUCCUUCGGGAGUGUUAUAGCCCUUGGUAGAUGUGAUGUCUGGGAUCGAGGAUUGCAACGGAUACCCUUUGGGCUAGCCGCCUGAU